GAUGAACGCUGGCGGCGUGCUUAACACAUGCAAGUCGAACGGAAAGGCUCCUGCUUGCAGGGGUACUCGAGUGGCGAACGGGUGAGCAACACGUGGGUGAUCUGCCCUGCACUUCGGGAUAAGCCUGGGAAACUGGGUCUAAUACCGGAUAGGACCACAUUUUGGAUGGUGUGGUGGAAAGUUUUUCGGUGUGGGAUGAGCUCGCGGCCUAUCAGCUUGUUGGUGGGGUAAUGGCCUACCAAGGCGUCGACGGGUAGCCGGCCUGAGAGGGUGUACGGCCACAUUGGGACUGAGAUACGGCCCAGACUCCUACGGGAGGCAGCAGUGGGGAAUAUUGCACAAUGGGCGCAAGCCUGAUGCAGCGACGCCGCGUGGGGGAUGACGGCCUUCGGGUUGUAAACUCCUUUCGCUAGGGACGAAGCGUUUUUGUGACGGUACCUGGAGAAGAAGCACCGGCUAACUACGU
rnacentral:rRNA from 1 species